UUUUUUUUUCUUUACAAGUCGUUUAAGUAAACACAUGGCAAAUAUAACAAACACGCAGAGGUUUGAAAAUUCCUGUUUUGAUAAAAAAUUGUUUGCAAUUUGAAUUAUCAAUUAAAAGAUAUUACAUUUAGUUUCUAAUACAGCAUUGCAUUUUAUAGGUGGUGGUCAUAGGUUUAUAUACAGCAAAUCAACAAAAUAUGUAUCUAGAUUACCAAUUAAACAUUUAUCACAACAAUUAAAAACAAAAUAUAAAGCAACAUACACGAUAUGUGUUCUGUUUGAUUUUGAGCUUUAAAAAAACAAAGUAUGGAUAAACAAUCUUUUACUGUGAUUGGCAAAUUGCAAAUUAAAUAUGUAUGAAUGAAGACCAA
rnacentral:lncRNA from 1 species